rnacentral:rRNA from 1 species
CCUACGGGAGGCAGCAGUGGGGAAUAUUGGACAAUGGGGGCAACCCUGAUCCAGCAAUGCCGCGUGUGUGAAGAAGGUCUUCGGAUUGUAAAGCACUUUCGACGGGGACGAUGAUGACGGUACCCGUAGAARAAGCCCCGGCUAACUUCGUGCCAGCAGCCGCGGUAAU